GAUGAACGCUGGCGGCGUGCCUAAUACAUGCAAGUCGAGCGAACGGACGAGAAGCUUGCUUCUCUGAUGUUAGCGGCGGACGGGUGAGUAACACGUGGAUAACCUACCUAUAAGACUGGGAUAACUUCGGGAAACCGGAGCUAAUACCGGAUAAUAUUUUGAACCGCAUGGUUCAAAAGUGAAAGACGGUCUUGCUGUCACUUAUAGAUGGAUCCGCGCUGCAUUAGCUAGUUGGUAAGGUAACGGCUUACCAAGGCAACGAUGCAUAGACGACCUGAGAGGGUGAUCGGCCACACGGGAACUGAGACACGGUCCAGACUCCUACGGGAGGCAGCAGUAGGGAAUCUUACGCAAUGGGCGAAAGCAUGACGGAGCAACGCCGCGUGAGUGAUGAAGGUCUUCGGAUCGUAAAACUCUGUUAUUAGGGAAGAACAUAUGUGUAAGUAACUGUGCACAUCUUGACGGUACCUAAUCAGAAAGCCACGGCUAACUACGUG
rnacentral:rRNA from 1 species